CACGUAGGGGGCUAGCGUUGUCCGGAUUUCUUGGGCGUAAAGAGCGUGUAGGCGGCCAGGUAGGUCUGGUGUGAAAACUCGAGGCUUAACCUCGAGAUGUCAUCGGAAACCAUCUGGCUAGAGUCCGGAAGAGGAGAGUGGAAUUCCUGGUGUAGCGGUGAAAUGCGUAGAUAUCGGAAGGAACACCAGUGGCGAAAGCGGCUUCCUGGUCCAGCACCGACGUUCAGGCACGAAAGCGUGGGGAGCAAACAGG
rnacentral:rRNA from 1 species